GGGACCCAGGGGUGCCGCCCCUUGUGCCGGCGGUGUGGCACCGGGGCCGGCGAGAACCAGCUCUGCCGUGGAGAUUUAAUAGGGAAAUCGGCGGCUGCCGUGUCCACGUGGAUACAUCUCAUUAGAAGAGGCUCUCGCUGAAAUCUGCAUGGAAGUGUCAAGGAAAGGAAUGAAAUCCAUCGUGACUCCGGGCUGCCCAGCAGGAGCAAACCCUGGAUCCGAGAGGAAUUUCCUCUUUCCUCGGGGCUCCUGGAGCUUCUGUGUGUGUGCCUGCGAGGAGAGGAAGGAAAACUUCCCUCUGCCGCGCCCCGAGCGAUGCUGAACGCUUGGUUUGUGCGCUCCCAAGCCACAAACACGUGAAGCAAUGUUGGUAUUCUCUAAUGGUACCAAGUUUCCCUGGAAGGAGGUGAAAACAUAACCCCAAAUUCAGCGCUGACUUCUGGUCUGUGAAAGAGAGAGGUGGACCAGAUAUCUGCAACCGUUCAAAGUGCUUGCAGAUCCGUGGAUGACAGACCUUCAGGUUUAGCUAUUUUAGCUAUUCUUGGCCUCCUCUGUAACCUUUUUGCCUUUCCCAGGUACUUCCCAGCACCUUGUAGCUAUUAGGCAAGCAAAGCAA